AACUGUGUCACGAGCGAGGUCGAUCGCAGGUAUACCCCCCUCUCGUUAUAACCAGAGAGAGACGGACCGAUCUCCCGUCUCAUCUCGAGCGCUGCCAGUCAUUCCGUGCCAGUCAUAGCGUUCGAGUGAGUUGACCGAUCUUCCGUCUCUCUCACUCUAGCGGCAUACAAACGAAUGGAGAUUUUCUCGUGCGGUUAAGUUUUCGUUGAAUGUUUUAUCGGCCGAUAAAAAGUUUGUAGUGUGCGGGGAGCCUAACAGUAAAACAAAAUGUGAAGUGCAAGUGAAGUGUUACAACAAUUGAAACAAACAAAACUUAUAUCACCAAUAAGACGUUAUCACAUAAUAAAAGUCACUGUCAAAUUGUCGAACGUGAGAAACCAGGUACUUGUAGUGCCAAAUACAAUAACACAAUAGAAAAUUCACAUCGAAUAAUAUGCAAUGAGCAACUUUGUUAUUGUUCAAAUGGAUACAUUGGAAAUUAUUCCUAAAACCAGUGUGAAGAUGGACGAUAUGGAUGUUAUUGUGUAUGUAAAUGCGUAGAAUGUGUCGAGGGCUUAUGCAAUUCUGUGAAUGGAAAAUGCAUCAUGGGAUGUAAAAAUAAUUAUAUUGAACCAUAUUGCACAGCCCGAAAUUUAUCAGUGUGAACUGCUACUGUAUCCACUCAAACUAAUUGUGUCACAAAUUGCACAAUUACAAUAUAUGAUAAAGAAUUAAAAUAUGAUGGUGUCGAGGGACCAGAAUAUUAUUACACUCGUUUAUUUAAUUCAAACAGAAUAAUUUUAGAACGAAAAUUAACACUAGUUAAAGUCAAAGUUGUUAAUUAUACUAAUUUAAUUGAAGAUACCAAAUCUAAUUAUCAGAUAGUGCUAUGUGUUGACGAUAAAAAAUUAAAGUGUUAUAAACGAGAAUUGACAAUAUUUCAAUUUGAAAUUACAUGUGAUGAUCUUCACAAUUACCAAAUUCUUAUAAAAAGAAUAAAAAGAGUGACUAAUAUAUAUGUUGAAAAUUACUAGUCUGCAAGAAAUUGUUUAAUGCGGAAUUAUUAGAUGUAAAACUGUGAUGAAGUUGGUAACACAGUACAAUCUGCAACACAUUUGGAAGUGAAUAAUACUCUAUCAUCAUUGAAAAUAUUUACAAAUUACACUCUUCGAUUGAUCAGAAACCACCAAAUAACGAACAAUAUCAUGUAUACCACGGAUGAAUCCAAACCUGUUGGAGUAGUAUGGAAAGAACCGUUGGCUGUUCAGAAAAUAAUUACACAAUAUCUCGUAGAAUGGAAAUUUUUGUAACAUAUGACCAGAAAUGUUAUGUCUGACAUUAACUAACUGAAAAUAUAGUAUAUAUGUUGUGUUAUUCCUUAUUUAAUUAUGUCAAAUUUGUAGAGCACACUGCAGGACAGCUUAUAUUUUGUGCUCGCCGGCAACCACUACAAAUCAUUAUUACUUUUGGGAGAUGAUUAAAUUAUCAAAUAAGCAGUAGAGACCAUCGUUUUAUUUGUGACCUUGGCUGAUAUAAAAAAUGAAAGGCUAUCAAAAUACUGACCUGAUUACCGUAGGAACAGAAUCGUAACUUAUUUAGACAUUGAAAUUACGGCUUUGUCCGUAAAAAUGUUCCACAACUAUGAAAUGAAUAAUUUUAUAGUUAAACAAAGUACUGGUGCAAUAAAGAUUAGUAUCUUCUAUUUUACAAAUGGGGUUAAACGAGGAACUCCGAUGUAUCCACAUAAUCUUACGUCAUUCCUUCAAUGCCUUCAGAAAAUUGAGCAUUCUUCACAGCAUCCAAUUCUAGUGCAGAAUUCUGAGGAACUUGACAUUUGUGUCAGUUUGUUUACAUUGGUAGACAAAUGUAUUCGACAAGCACAGGAGGAAAAUCACAUGGAUAUUGUUGGGGCGAAACCUGCGUAGCUUGUCCUCCUGGUUCUGAAGACGGUUUGCCCGAUUUUUGUUUGCGAUGCUCAAGCGACUCUGACUGAGUUUAGCCGGUCUAACAUCGCGCUCCAAGAUAUGAUAGU